rnacentral:rRNA from 1 species
AUGGGCGAGCGCAAGGUGCUGAACAAACACUACACGGACGACUUCGACCCGGCGAAAAUCCCGCGGCGGCGGCAGCCCAAGAACCAGCAGAUCAAGGUGCGCGUGAUGCUCCCGAUGAGCAUCCGCUGCGGCACCUGCGGGACGUACAUCUCCAAGGGCACCAAGUUCAACUCACGCAAAGAGGACGCCGCCGGCGAGGCAUACCUGGGCAUACGAAUACACAGGUUCUACAUCAAGCGCACACGCUGCUCCGCCGAGAUCGCCUUCAAGACGGACCCCCGAAACUCGGAUUAUACGGUGGAGUCCGGGGCCAACCGCAACUUCGAGCCAUGGCGCGAGGCUGAGGCUGUGGUGGGCAAGGAGAAGAGGAAACGCGCAACCGAGGAGAUGGGCGAUCAGAUGAGAGCGCUGGAGAACAGAGCCAUGGAUUCCAAGCGGGAUAUGGACGGACUCGCCGCUUUAGAGGAGACGCUGUCGAUGAGAUCUAUACAUGCCCGGGUCUCCGCUGACCGGAUGCUUGAGAUUCUGAACCAUUCUUCUUCUACUGCUUAUCAUCAAAAUUUAAAGGAGGGAGACGAAGAACUCGUGAGAUCAAUCACUUUCCAUAACUCGGAAGCUUAUGUUAAUUGGAUCAAAGACGACAACGAAGAUUUUCGGUCAGACAUUAACGAGUCUUCUAAAUCAGUGCUAGUUCUUCCUCCAACAGAUGGCUUGACCAAAGCCAGUGGACUUGAGAGUGCCAACAGAGACGGGAACAAGAGGGUGGCAUCUAAGAUGCCGAAGUUCAUUGUAAAGGCAAAGCCCGCUGCUGCAAAUCCUCAGAAGAAACACAAGACUACUGAAGCUGCAGCUGCACGAGAUAGCGGUAAAGCAACAGUUGCAGAAGGGGAAGAUGAAGCUUCAGAAAAAGAGAAGACCAAUGUUCUUGAUUCCCUCUUCCAGUAUGACACCGAUGAAAGUGAUGACUGA